rnacentral:sRNA from 1 species
CAAGUAGUGCACCUGAGCUUUGUUUUCACAUUAAUAACACUGCAUUUCAAUCCGCCCUUUCAGCUGCAUCAAGAAAAACUGAAAGAGGAAAAGAAGAAGAAGAAAAAGAAAAGGAAGAAGCAUCGAAAGAGCAGUUCAGAUAGUGAUGAUGAAGAAAAGAAGCAUGAAAAAUUGAAAAAGGCACUGAAUGCAGAGGAGGCCCGCCUUCUUCAUGUCAAGGAGACCAUGCAGAUUGAUGAGAGGAAGCGGCCUUACAAUAGCAUGUAUGAAACUCGAGAACCUACUGAAGAGGAAAUGGAGGCAUAUAGAAUGAAACGUCAGAGGCCAGAUGACCCCAUGGCCUCUUUCCUUGGACAGUAGUAACUAGUCAGAAGACCAUCCAAGAUAGAUGCAGCUGAUACAUUCUUUUCAGCUUCUUAUUGAUGAUUGUAGAUAGAAAAAUCCUUGUUUAUUCUUCUUGCUGCCUGGCUUUAAUAAAUAUUUCAGAUGCCU